GACGAACGCUGGCGGCGUGCUUAACACAUGCAAGUCGUACGGUAAGGCCCUUCCGGGGGUACACGAGUGGCGAACGGGUGAGUAACACGUGAGUAACCUGCCCACAACUUUGGGAUAACGCUAGGAAACUGGUGCUAAUACUGGAUAUGUGCUCCUGCUGCAUGGUGGGGGUUGGAAAGCUCCGGCGGUUGUGGAUGGACUCGCGGCCUAUCAGCUUGUUGGUGGGGUAGUGGCCUACCAAGGCGGCGACGGGUAGCCGGCCUGAGAGGGUGACCGGCCACAUUGGGACUGAGAUACGGCCCAGACUCCUACGGGAGGCAGCAGUGGGGAAUAUUGCACAAUGGGCGCAAGCCUGAUGCAGCAACGCCGCGUGCGGGAUGACGGCCUUCGGGUUGUAAACCGCUUUCAGCAGGGACGAAGCUUUUUGUGACGGUACCUGCAGAAGAAGCACCGGCUAACUACGUG
rnacentral:rRNA from 1 species